rnacentral:lncRNA from 1 species
UUUGAUAUAGAGUAGAAUGAUUUAUAGAUGCAGGAGGUAAAUAUCAAUACUGUUUCAAGAAGUGCAGAUUGAAUGAACUGAAGAUCCUGAUUGAAGAUUGAAGAAGAUUGAAUAUGAUGUAGCGCUGACUGGGAUCGAGAGUCACAAGAUUGUAGAUCACAGAAAUGUUGAAGAAGACUUGAGAUUCCAGUUGUCAAUAGACAGAAGCCAAUAUCAAAGUAACAGAUUGCAGGAUUUGAAAUAG